AGCUUUGCACAGUGGUAGUAUCAUAGCCAAUGAGAUUUAUCUGAGGCAUGACUAUUGCUAAUUGAAAAAUGUUUAUUUUGUGAAAAAUCAGUGAAGAGUAUAAUUUUAAUGCACUCUUCUUUUUGUGCAAUAUAUACCAAAAA
ensembl:snRNA U4 U4 spliceosomal RNA